GACGAACGCUGGCGGCGUGCUUAACACAUGCAAGUCGAACGGAAAGGCCCUGCUUUUGUGGGGUGCUCGAGUGGCGAACGGGUGAGUAACACGUGAGUAACCUGCCCUUGACUUUGGGAUAACUUCAGGAAACUGCGGCUAAUACCGGGUAGGAGCUCCUGCUGCAUGGGGGGGGUUGGAAAGUUCCGGCGGUUGGGGAUGGACUCGCGGCUUAUCAGCUUGUUGGUGUGGUAGUGGCUUACCAAGGCUUUGACGGGUAGCCGGCCUGAGAGGGUGACCGGCCACAAUGGGACUGAGAUACGGCGCAGACUCCUACGGGACGCAGUAGUGGAGAAUAUGGCAGAAUGGGCGGAAGCCUGAUGCAGCAACGCCGCGUGCGGGAUGACGGGCUUCGGGUUGUAAACCGCUUUCGCCUGUGACGAAGCGUGAGUGACGGUAAUGGGUAAAGAAGCACCGGCUAACUACGUG
rnacentral:rRNA from 1 species